GAUAGUGUGGCUGAAAUAGCGCUAAACUGUAAAUUUAGUAAUGGGCCCCAGUCCCCCCUAUCU
rnacentral:tRNA from 1 species